UACGUAGGGGGCGAGCGUUGUCCGGAAUUAUUGGGCGUAAAGAGCUCGUAGGCGGUUCGGCAAGUCACGUGUGAAAUCUCCACGCUCAACGUGGAGGCGCCACGUGAGACUGCUGUGACUCGAGUCCGGUAGGGGAGCGUGGAAUUCCCGGUGUAGCGGUGAAAUGCGCAGAGAUCGGGAGGAACACCCGUAGCGAAGGCGGCGCUCUGGGCCGGUACUGACGCUGAAGAGCGAAAGCGUGGGGAGCAAACAGG
rnacentral:rRNA from 1 species